rnacentral:rRNA from 1 species
GGAUCAAAUCAAGCGCGAAAAGGGCGUUUGGUGGAUGCCUUGGCAGUAAGAGGCGAUGAAAGACGUGAUACUCUGCGAUAAGCCAUGGGGAGCUGAGAAUAAGCUUUGAUCCAUGGAUUUCCGAAUGGGGCAACCCAAGGGCGAA